UACGUAGGGAGCAAGCGUUGUCCGGAAUCAUUGGGCGUAAAGCGCGCGUAGGUGGCUUCGUAAGUCCGUUGUGAAAGUCAAAGGCUCAACCUUUGAAAGCCGAUGGAUACUGUGAAGCUAGAGUACGGAAGAGGCGAGUGGAAUUCCUGGUGUAGCGGUGGAAUGCGCAGAUAUCAGGAGGAACACCAAUAGCGAAGGCAGCUCGCUGGGACGUUACUGACACUGAGGCGCGAAAGCGUGGGGGAGCGAACAGG
rnacentral:rRNA from 1 species